rnacentral:rRNA from 1 species
AUUGAACGCUGGCGGAAUGCUUUACACAUGCAAGUCGAACGGCAGCACGGACUUCGGUCUGGUGGCGAGUGGCGAACGGGUGAGUAAUGUAUCGGAACGUGCCCAGUCGUGGGGGAUAACGUAGUGAAAAUUACGCUAAUACCUCAUACGAUCUAUGGAUGAAAGCGGGGGAUCGCAAGACCUCGCGCGAUUGGAGCGGCCGAUAUCAGAUUAGGUAGUUGGUGGGGUAAAGGCCCACCAAGCCAACGAUCUGUAGCGGGUCUGAGAGGACGACCAGCCACACUGGAACUGAGACACGGUCCAGACUCCUACGGGAGGCAGCAGUGGGGAAUUUUGGACAAUGGGCGAAAGCCUGAUCCAGCCAUUCCGCGUGCAGGAUGAAGGCCCUCGGGUUGUAAACUGCUUUUGUACAGAACGAAAAGGUUUCUACUAAUACUAGGAGCUCAUGACGGUACUGUAAGAAUAAGCACCGGCUAACUACGUGCCAGCCGCCACGGUAA